rnacentral:lncRNA from 1 species
GAGAACCAAAUCCAAAUCUCGACGAAGUCGAAACGUGUCGACGAUCACGUGUACACUAAUGGUGACGUGGUUAAAAAUACUUUUUCAUGACGUCGCAAGUCCUUUAAAAUAAUUAUUGAUAAAAGCGGUUUACUAAUAAAAGGCACAUAAGUUAGCAUGUAUUAGAAUCAGAUAAAAUCAAAUACAAUAAUUAAGCGACCAUGCUAGAACCACGGAACCCAGGAAUGCCUAAUACCUUCUCCCUGGUUAACAGAAUUCCUUACUCGGAUUUCUGGUUCGCAGACUGUAACUGAGUUAUAAUCUUCCUCGGUUCAGGAUUCAAAUCGGUGACUUGGGACACCAUAAAUCUCCCAAGUGGUGACUCUGAAUAAUUAAUAACCAAAUCCCGUUCCGAUUGUCCUUUAAGUGAAAAAACUCCUUUAUGCCUCCUUUGUGGGGGUGUAUAGAGAAAAAAAGGAGGUGUGACAGCUCUGGCGACUCUGCUGGGGAUUAGAACCCAGAACGUUUUGUUCACGGUACAGAAUUCGAGCUUAGAUAAAUUGUUGUAUUUUGUUAUAUCUGAUUUUCUU